rnacentral:rRNA from 1 species
GUGCCAGCAGCCGCGGUAAUACGGAGGGUGCGAGCGUUGUCCGGAAUCACUGGGCGUAAAGGGCGCGUAGGUGGCGCGGUCAGCGUGUGGUGAAAGCUCGGGGCUCAACCCCGAGUCGGCCAUGCGAACUGCCGCGCUCGAGCACUGUAGAGGCAGAUGGAAUUCCGGGUGUAGCGGUGGAAUGCGUAGAGAUCCGGAAGAACACCGGUGGCGAAGGCGGUCUGCUGGGCAGUUGCUGACACUGAGGCGCGACAGCGUGGGGAGCAAACAGGAUUAGAAACCCCGGUAGUCC